rnacentral:rRNA from 1 species
UCGGGAAUUUUGGGCAAUGGGGGAAACCCUGACCCAGCAACGCCGCGUGAAGGAUGAAGUAUUUCGGUAUGUAAACUUCGAAAGAAUAGGAAGAAUAAAUGACGGUACUAUUUAUAAGGUCCGGCUAACUACGUGCCAGCAGCCGCGGUAAUACGUAGGGACCAAGCGUUGUUCGGAUUUACUGGGCGUAAAGGGCGCGUAGGCGGCAAUUCAAGUCAUCUGUGAAAUCUCCGGGCUUAACUCGGAACGGUCAGAUGAUACUGCUUUGCUAGAGUGCAGAAGGGGCAAUCGGAAUUCUUGGUGUAGCGGUGAAAUGCGUAGAUAUCAAGAGGAACACCUGAGGUGAAGACGGGUUGCUGGGCUGACACUGACGCUGAGGCGCGAAAGCCAGGGGAGCAAACGGGAUUAGAUACCCCAGUAGUCCCUGAGCGGGCUGGCAAGGCGCAU